UUCGCAAUGCCCGAAAGGGUGACGAAGCGACGCCGCGUGCGGGAAGAAGGCCUUCGGGUUGUAAACCGCUGUCGGGAGUUAGGAAAUGCAAGGAUGUUAAUAGCGUCUUUGCUUGACUAAGGCUCCGGAGGAAGCCACGGCAAGCUCUGUGCCAGCAGCCGCGGUAAUACAGAGGCGGCAAGCGUUGUUCGGAAUUAUUGGGCGUAAAGAGCACGUAGGCGGCCGUGUAAGUCGGUUGUGAAAGCCUUCCGCUCAACGGGAGAACGGCAUCCGAUACUGCAUGGCUCGAGUGCGGGAGGGGAGAGUGGAACUUCUGGUGGAGCGGUGAAAUGCGUAGAUAUCAGAAGGAACACCGGCGGCGAAGGCGACUCUCUGGCCCGUAACUGACGCUGAGUGUGCGAAAGCUAGGGGAGCAAACGGGAUUAGAUACCCCGGUAGUCCUAGCCGUAAACGAUGGGCACUAAGUAGAGGGGUUUU
rnacentral:rRNA from 1 species